rnacentral:tRNA from 1 species
GCGCCUGUAGCUCAGUGGAUCAGAGCGGAGGUCUCCGGAACCUCAGGUCAGAGGUUCGAAUCCUCUCAGGCGCGCCA